AGAGCUCAAAUUUAUAAUCUGGCACCUUCGGUGUCCGAGUUGUAAUCUCUAGAAGUGUUUUCCGCGUUGGACCGCACACAAGUCUGUUGGAAUACAGCGGCAUAGUGGUGAAACCCCCGUAUAUGGUGCGGACGCCCAGCGCUUUGUGAUACACUUUCAAUGAGUCGAGUUGUUUGGGAAUGCAGCUCAAAUUGGGUGGUAAAUUCCAUCUAAAGCUAAAUAUUGGCGAGAGACCGAUAGCGAACAAGUACCGUGAGGGAAAGAUGAAAAGCACUUUGGAAAGAGAGUUAACAGUACGUGAAAUUGUUGGAAGGGAAACGCUUGAAGUCAGACUUGCUUGCCGGAGCUUGCUUCGGUUUGCAGGCCAGCAUCAGUUUUCCGGGGUGGAUAAUGACGGUUUGAAGGUAGCAGUCUCGGCUGUGUUAUAGCUUUCCGUUGGAUACGCCCUGGGGGACUGAGGAACGCAGCGUGCUUUUUGCGAAAGACUCGUCUUUUUCACGCUUAGGAUGCUGGUGGAAUGGCUUUAAACGACCCGUCUUG
rnacentral:rRNA from 1 species